UACGGGGGGAGCAAGCGUUGUUCGGAUUUACUGGGCGUAAAGGGCGCGUAGGCGGUCAGCACAAGUCAAUUGUGAAAUCUCCGAGCUUAACUCGGAAAGGUCAACUGAAACUGUGCGACUAGAGUGCGGAAGGGGCAACUGGAAUUCUUGGUGUAGCGGUGAAAUGCGUAGAGAUCCGGAGGAACACCAGAGGCGAAGGCGGCCGGCUGGCCGAGGGCUGACGCUGAGGCGCGAUGGCGUGGGGAGCAAACCGG
rnacentral:rRNA from 1 species